UACUGUAAGCCUCCACCCGAGCUUCCCUUGUGAAUGAAUUCUUUCUGGACUUCUAUUGCAGGCAGACUUCGAUCGAGCUUCCUCAACAAAUGAAUCCCAUCUGGACUUCUACAGGAACCAGACUUUGACCGAACUUCUGUAGCGGACAGACUUCGGAUGAACUCCUAUGAUGCGCGGGCUCCAGCAGCCGAACACCUCCAGCGGGUGAACCUCUCUAGCACCAUCCGACAUCCACUGUCAGUCGACCUUCUGUCAGAUUUUGCAUGAAACUGAACUUCA
rnacentral:lncRNA from 1 species